GCCGGAGUGGCGAAAUCGGCAGACGCGAGGGACUUAAAAUCCCUUGGGGGCAACCCCAUCCGGGUUCGAUUCCCGGCUCCGGCA
rnacentral:tRNA from 1 species